GGAGUGUUGUGGAUCCAAGGCGGAGCAUGAGGCGGCGAUGUUUUGCCACAGGGAAAGGAGCAAUCUACGGAAAAUAAGAGCACUACAGUGUAAUGAAGAACACUACAGUGGACCUAUUGAACAGAGAGGUGAAAAAGUGGAAAAAGUUGAAGACGAAAGCCCAGCGAAUGGUCAGACAUGAAAGAGAAAGGUCAAGCUCGCCGCUCUUGGUUAGUGACCUUGGUGCUUUUAUUAUUUGGAAAUUCUGAGAAUAAGGUGUUUGGUGAUUUUAUUAUUUGUAAUUCUGAGAUUGAGGUGUCUGGUGCUUUUACUAUAAAUUUUAAAUAAGACUAUGAAGUUGUGAUUUGGAGAUUUUAGAUCUCUUUAGAAUGAGUUUACUGUAAAUUUUUUUUAAUGGUUUUAAGGUGUUUGGUGCUUUUAUUAUCUGGAAUUUUAAGAUUAAGGUAAGGAAGAGUGUGAGGUAAAGAGGCGUUUGAAAUAGAAAUUCCAGCUAUAAUAGCAACUAUGAGUUGUGAGUACAAAUCCCCCAUUGAAAGCCAGGACAUCACAAGGUAUUUUACCACCUAGCUAGAUGAAUUUUUCUGUCUAAUGGGUCUAAUUUGUGCACCAUGAUGUUCUUUUAUAUCCCCAAGUGUCCCAACAGCCCUUAAAACCAAUUACAAGGGCUUGGCUCUCUUUCCAUGCUUAUAUGUCUCUGCUUUAUUUCUUAUUUCAGUUUCUGCAAUGCUUGAACUAAGACACUUUUAAUGUGAAAUUAAAUAUAACAAAGCAAUAUCAUAGAAUUGCUUGUAAAUAGCCGUCUUACUAUAGUAUAGUCAUGGUCAAUAUAGUAUGGUGGUAUAGUCAUGGCACCUUCUGUUUUAUCAUGUUAUAAGAGGAGCAUAUACUUGACAGCUUGGUGUAAACAAUUCUAUGGCUUUGCCUUUUGGGUAAGAAAUGAUACUUUUGUUUAAUCCAUUAAAGG
rnacentral:misc_RNA from 1 species